GUCGAACGCUUCUUUWUCCACCGGAGCUUGCUCCACCGGAAAAAGAGGAGUGGCGAACGGGUGAGUAACACGUGGGUAACCUGCCCAUCAGAAGGGGAUAACACUUGGAAACAGGUGCUAAUACCGUAUAACAAUCRAAACCGCAUGGUUUUGAUUUGAAAGGCGCUUUCGGGUGUCGCUGAUGGAUGGACCCGCGGUGCAUUAGCUAGUUGGUGAGGUAACGGCUCACCAAGGCCACGAUGCAUAGCCGACCUGAGAGGGUGAUCGGCCACAUUGGGACUGAGACACGGCCCAAACUCCUACGGGAGGCAGCAGUAGGGAAUCUUCGGCAAUGGACGAAAGUCUGACCGAGCAACGCCGCGUGAGUGAAGAAGGUUUUCGGAUCGUAAAACUCUGUUGUUAGAGAAGAACAAGGAUGAGAGUAACUGUUCAUCCCUUGACGGUAUCUAACCAGAAAGCCACGGCUAACUACGUGCCAGCAGCCGCGGUAAUACGUAGGUGGCAAGCGUUGUCCGGAUUUAUUGGGCGUAAAGCGAGCGCAGGCGGUUUCUUAAGUCUGAUGUGAAAGCCCCCGGCUCAACCGGGGAGGGUCAUUGGAAACUGGGAGACUUGAGUGCAGAAGAGGAGAGUGGAAUUCCAUGUGUAGCGGUGAAAUGCGUAGAUAUAUGGAGGAACACCAGUGGCGAAGGCGGCUCUCUGGUCUGUAACUGACGCUGAGGCUCGAAAGCGUGGGGAGCAAACAGGAUUAGAUACCCUGGUAGUCCACGCCGUAAACGAUGAGUGCUAAGUGUUGGAGGGUUUCCGCCCUUCAGUGCUGCAGCUAACGCAUUAAGCACUCCGCCUGGGGAGUACGACCGCAAGGUUGAAACUCAAAGGAAUUGACGGGGGCCCGCACAAGCGGUGGAGCAUGUGGUUUAAUUCGAAGCAACGCGAAGAACCUUACCAGGUCUUGACAUCCUUUGACCACUCUAGAGAUAGAGCUUCCCCUUCGGGGGCAAAGUGACAGGUGGUGCAUGGUUGUCAUCAGCUCGUGUCGUGAGAUGUUGGGUUAAGUCCCGCAACGAG
rnacentral:rRNA from 1 species